UACGUAGGGUGCGAGCGUUAAUCGGAAUUACUGGGCGUAAAGGGUGCGCAGGCGGCUAUAUAAGUUAGAUGUGAAAUCCCUAAGCUUAACUUAGGAAUGGCAUUUGAUACUGUAUAGCUAGAGUUUAUCAGAGGGAGGUAGAAUUCCAAGUGUAGCAGUGAAAUGCGUAGAUAUGCGGAGGAACACCGAUGGCGAAGGCAAUCCCCUGGGCCUGCACUGACGCUCAUGCACGAAAGCGUGGGGAGCAAACAGG
rnacentral:rRNA from 1 species